UGGGGAAUAUUGCACAAUGGGCGCAAGCCAGAUGCAGCCAUGCCGCGUGGGUGAAGAAGGCCUUCGGGUUGUAAAGCACUUUCAGCGGGGAGGAAGGCGAUAAGGUUAAUAACCUUGUCGAUUGACGUUACCCGCAGAAGAAGCACCGGCUAACUCCGUGCCAGCAGCCGCGGUAAUACGGAGGGUGCAAGCGUUAAUCGGAAUUACUGGGCGUAAAGCGCACGCAGGCGGUCUGUCAAGUCGGAUGUGAAAUCCCCGGGCUCAACCUGGGAACUGCAUUCGAAACUUGCAGGCUAGAGUCUUGUAGAGGGGGGUAGAAUUCCAGGUGUAGCGGUGAACUGCGUAGAGAUCUAGAGGAAUACCGUUGGAGAAGGCGGCCGCCUCGACAAACACUAACGCUCAGGUGCGAAAGCGACGGGAGCAAACAGG
rnacentral:rRNA from 1 species